AGAGCCUCCACUAUUGAGCUUCCCCAUCCAGCCACUCCCCGCAGCACCCUUUGUUAGCCCCAUACACAUACACAGUCCCUGGCACUUCUUGGAACCUCAAGGAACACAAUUUGAACACCUCUUCCCUGGGAAAUAGCCUUAAGGAUAGAAAGAGAAUUGAAGAUUGGAAUUUCCUUACAUGACCCCAGAGAGCAUAAGACCCCAGCUUUGGUCCAUGAACAGAAAAUUCAUUCUGGAGAGAAGAGAUGAUCGUGAAACAAUGCAACCCUUUGCCCUGUUUCUGUCUCACACUUUGCUUUGGCAGUGGUUUAGCUGUUUAACGGAAACACCUAUUCUGCACUGGCAGAGUCCUUAUGUUAGAAGAGAAAAUGCAUGUUCUGUUCUGGCAUAUCCCUGUUGAUCUACCUUCCUGGGUCUUGGGUAAAAGACUCAUUUAAUGGAAGAGCUCGAUUUGUGGUAGGUUUUUCUGGGAAGAAAGUAGAGCAGAGGUAGGGAAAAACUGCAAGUCUGUAGGCUAGUGGUAUCCACCCUGUGCAUUUGUGAUUUCUUGCUGAUGGUUACUGGGGGGAAAUUGGCUUUGCAGCGAUGUGUGUCUCCGCUUGUGUGGGAAUGAUGGAUGCCGCAUAGGAUUGGAGAGAUGUUUUUGAGUGGAGUGUACCAGUUCAGGGACUCCCAUCAGAUUCAUUUCCCAGUACAGUCCUCUUGACAAAGGAUGAUGGAAAAGAAAUCGCCUUAAAUAGCUGGAAGAUUAAUUUCUCUCAGCAGUUCCCAGGCGUCCAAGGGACUGGGCUCUUUAAGUGAUGUCUGACAACUUCUCUUCCCUCAACAGAUAACUCAGUAACACCAAAAUCUGGCUCCUCGGGGUAGGUGAUGGGACUAAUCUGAUUAAAUAGGGAGCAAAUACUCCUGGAGGCCCCUUGCUUUCUCUUGCUAGCCUUCCAGCAUCUGCACACCAGGCAAGGGAGGGCUGUGGGGAGUAGCAGUGCACUGUGGGGUGAGUAGAAUGUUCAUGAAGGAAGGUGAAAAGGUAGGUGAGGAUGUGGGGGAGGAGGGAGGAAGGGCACAGUUAACGCAAAUCAAAGACUGAAGGAUAAUAGUUACUGAGUGUUCCUCUUUAGGCAAAACCAGAAGGUCA
rnacentral:lncRNA from 1 species